rnacentral:rRNA from 1 species
GUAUCCUGACCGUGCAAAGGUAGCAUAAUCAUUUGCCUCUUAAUUGGUGGCUAGUAUGAAUGGACACACGCAAGCAUCGCUGUCUCACUAAUAUAAAUAAAAACUAACCUUUAGGUGAAGAGGCCUAAAUAAAAUAAAAAGACAAAAAGACCCUAUGGAGCUUUAUUUUUCCUCCUUUAACGUACAAUAUACUAAAAUACCUUCCAGGACUAACAAAUUUAGUUGGGGCGACUUAGGAAAACAAUAAAUCUUCCUAGUUUAACAAGAAAAUAAUUCAUCCAACGAUCCGCCAUGCGAAUACAGAUCCAGCUACCCUAGGGAUAACAGGCUAAUUCUUCUCGAGAGCCCGAAUUGACAGAAGAGAUUGGCACCUCG